rnacentral:pre_miRNA from 9 species
CAGGGUAGACCGCGUUGGCAGUGUGGUUAGCUGGUUGUGUAUGGAAAUGACAACAGCCACUAACGACACUGCUCCUGCGUGCACCCUAAA